rnacentral:rRNA from 1 species
UCUGCAUCGAUGAAGAACGCAGCGAAAUGCGAUAAGUAAUGUGAAAUAUGCGGACUUCAGUGACAUCAUCGCAAAUCGACUGAACGCACCUUGCGCUCCUUGAGUAUUCCGAGGAGCAUGCCUGUUUGAGCGUCAUGA